UAGAGUUUGAUCCUGGCUCAGGACGAACGCUGGCGGCGUGCCUAAUACAUGCAAGUAGAACGCUGAAGGAGGAGCUUGCUUCUCUGGAUGAGUUGCGAACGGGUGAGUAACGCGUAGGUAACCUGCCUGGUAGCGGGGGAUAACUAUUGGAAACGAUAGCUAAUACCGCAUAAGAGUAGAUGUUGCAUGACAUUUGCUUAAAAGGUGCAAUUGCAUCACUACCAGAUGGACCUGCGUUGUAUUAGCUAGUUGGUGGGGUAACGGCUCACCAAGGCGACGAUACAUAGCCGACCUGAGAGGGUGAUCGGCCACACUGGGACUGAGACACGGCCCAUACUCCUACGGGAGGCAGCAGUAGGGAAUCUUCUGCAAUGGACUGAAGUCUGACCGAGCAACGCCGCGUGAGUGAAGAAGGUUUUCGGAUCGUAAAGCUCUGUUGUCCACAAAGAACGAGUGUGAGAGUGGAAAGUUCACACUGUGACGGUAUCUU
rnacentral:rRNA from 1 species